rnacentral:lncRNA from 1 species
UCUGGAUGUUAGGUAUCAUUGCUAGAUGGUCACUUUGAUUAGUAUAGGAAGAUUACUUCUAUACUACCGGCUUAGGUUUGAAUUUAUGAGGUCACAUUCAAAAGAAGUUUCUAACUGAUCAUAUGAUUGAUCGACGGUUAAGAAUCGCUCUAAGGUAAAAUAGUUAAUUUGAUUGAUGAUUAACCCUAAAGUUGUAAUAAAUCAAUUCAUUAAUUAUUGAUAAAUUAUAAGAGA